rnacentral:rRNA from 1 species
CGUGUCGUGAGAUGUUGGGUUAAGUCCCGCAACGAGCGCAACCCUUGAUCUUAGUUGCCAGCAUUCAGUUGGGCACUCUAAGGUGACUGCCGGUGACAAACCGGAGGAAGGUGGGGAUGACGUCGAAUCAUCAUGCCCCUUAUGACCUGGGCUACACACGUGCUACAAUGGACAGAACAAAGGGCAGCGAAACCGCGAGGUUAAGCCAAUCCCACAAGUCUGUUCUCAGUUCGGAUCGCAGUCUGCAACUCGACUGCGUGAAGCUGGAAUCGCUAGUAAUCGCGGAUCAGCAUGCCGCGGUGAAUACGUUCCCGGGCCUUGUACACACCGCCCGUCACACCACGAGAGUUUGUAACACCCGAAGUCGGUGAGGUAACCUUUUAGGAGCCAGCCGCCGAAGGUGGGACAGAUGAUUGGGGU